GACAGAGGUCCCGAGCGUUAGGCGGAAUCACUGGGCUUAAAGCGUGUGUAGGCGGCGGCCUAAGUACCUUGUGAAAUCCCACGGCUCACCCGUGGAACUGCUCGGUAUACUGGGUCGCUUGAGCCACCUAGGGGCUACCGGAACAAAUGGUGGAGCGGUGAAAUGCGUAGAUAUCAUUUGGAACGCCAAUGGUGAAAACAGGUAGCUGGGAGUGUGCUGACGCUGAGACACGAAAGCCAGGGGAGCAAACGGG
rnacentral:rRNA from 1 species